rnacentral:rRNA from 1 species
GAUGAACGCUGACAGAAUGCUUAACACAUGCAAGUCAACUUGAAUUUGGGUUUUUAACUUAGGUUUGGGUGGCGGACGGGUGAGUAACGCGUAAAGAACUUGCCUCACAGCUAGGGACAACAUUUGGAAACGAAUGCUAAUACCUAAUAUUAUGAUAAUAGGGCAUCCUAUAAUUAUGAAAGCUAUAAGCGCUGUGAGAGAGCUUUGCGUCCCAUUAGCUAGUUGGAGAGGUAACGGCUCACCAAGGCGAUGAUGGGUAGCCGGCCUGAGAGGGUGAUCGGCCACAAGGGGACUGAGACACGGCCCUUACUCCUACGGGAGGCAGCAGUGGGGAAUAUUGGACAAUGGACCAAGAGUCUGAUCCAGCAAUUCUGUGUGCACGAUGAAGUUUUUCGGAAUGUAAAGUGCUUUCAGUUGGGAAGAAAGAAAUGACGGUACCAACAGAAGAAGUGACGGCUAAAUACGUG